CUAGCGACUUCAGAGUUUGAUCCGUGGCUCAGGACGAACGCUGGCGGCGUGCCUAACACAUGCAAGUCGAACGGAGCUUGACCCUUCGGGUUAAGCUUAGUGGCGAACGGGUGAGUAACGCGUGAGGAACCUGCCUUUCAUGGGGGACAACAGUUGGAAACGACUGCUAAUACCGCAUAAUGUAUUUUGGGGACAUCCCCUGAAUACCAAAGCUUUAUGUGCUGAAAGAUGGCCUCGCGUCUGAUUAGCUAGUUGGUGGGGUAACGGCCCACCAAGGCGACGAUCAGUAGCCGGUCUGAGAGGAUGAACGGCCACAUUGGGACUGAGAUACGGCCCAG
rnacentral:rRNA from 1 species